rnacentral:rRNA from 1 species
GACGAACGCUGGCGGCGUGCUUAACACAUGCAAGUCGAACGGUAAGGCCCUUCGGGGUACACGAGUGGCGAACGGGUGAGUAACACGUGGGUGAUCUGCCCUGCACUUCGGGAUAAGACUGGGAAACUGGGUCUAAUACCGGAUAGGACCACUGCCUGCAUGGGUGGUGGUGGAAAGCUUUUGCGGUGUUGGAUGGGCCCGCGGCCUAUCAGCUUAUUGGUGGGGUGAUGGCCUACCAAGGCGACGACGGGUAGCCGGCCUGAGAGGGUGACCGGCCACACUGGGACUGAGAUACGGCCCAGACUCCUACGGGAGGCAGCAGUGGGGAAUAUUGCACAAUGGGCGCAAGCCUGAUGCAGCGACGCCGCGUGAGGGAUGACGGCCUUCGGGUUGUAAACCUCUUUCAGCACCGACGAAGCGCAAGUGACGGUAGGUGCAGAAGAAGGACCGGCCGACUACGUGCCAGCAGCCGCCGUAA